AGAGUUUGAUCCUGGCUCAGGAUGAACGCUGGCGGCGUGCCUAAUACAUGCAAGUCGAGCGAAUGGAUUAAGAGCUUGCUCUUAUGAAGUUAGCGGCGGACGGGUGAGUAACACGUGGGUAACCUGCCCAUAAGACUGGGAUAACUCCGGGAAACCGGGGCUAAUACCGGAUAACAUUUUGAACCGCAUGGUUCGAAAUUGAAAGGCGGCUUCGGCUGUCACUUAUGGAUGGACCCGCGUCGCAUUAGCUAGUUGGUGAGGUAACGGCUCACCAAGGCAACGAUGCGUAGCCGACCUGAGAGGGUGAUCGGCCACACUGGGACUGAGACACGGCCCAGACUCCUACGGGAGGCAGCAGUAGGGAAUCUUCCGCAAUAGACGAAAGUCUGACGGAGCAACGCCGCGUGAGUGAUGAAGGCUUUCGGGUCGUAAAACUCUGUUGUUAGGGAAGAACAAGUGCUAGUUGAAUAAGCUGGCACCUUGACGGUACCUAACCAGAAAGCCACGGCUAACUACGUGCCAGCAGCCGCGGUAAUACGUAGGUGGCAAGCGUUAUCCGGAAUUAUUGGGCGUAAAGCGCGCGCAGGUGGUUUCUUAAGUCUGAUGUGAAAGCCCACGGCUCAACCGUGGAGGGUCAUUGGAAACUGGGAGACUUGAGUGCAGAAGAGGAAAGUGGAAUUCC
rnacentral:rRNA from 1 species